UACGUAGGGGGCAAGCGUUAUCCGGAUUUACUGGGUGUAAAGGGAGCGUAGACGGUUAUGCAAGUCUGAAGUGAAAGCCCAAGGCUCAACCAUGGGACUGCUUUGGAAACUGUAAAACUGGAGUGCAGGAGAGGUAAGCGGAAUUCCUAGUGUAGCGGUGAAAUGCGUAGAUAUUAGGAGGAACACCAGUGGCGAAGGCGGCUUACUGGACUGUAAAUGACGCUGAGGCUCGAAAGCGUGGGGAGCAAACAGG
rnacentral:rRNA from 1 species